rnacentral:rRNA from 1 species
CCUCUGGUGUACCGGUUGUCACGCCAGUGGCAUUGCCGGGUAGCUAAGUUCGGAAGAGAUAACCGCUGAAAGCAUCUAAGCGGGAAACUUGCCUUAAGAUGAGAUUUCCCAGAGCCUUGAGCUCUUUAAAGGGUCGUUCGAGACCAGGACGUUGAUAGGUCAGGUGUGGAAGUGCAGUAAUGCAUUAAGCUAACUGAUACUAAUUGCCCGUAAGGCUUGUCCCUAUAACCUUGACGGUUAUAU